GUGGGGAAUAUUGCACAAUGGAGGAAACUCUGAUGCAGCAACGCCGCGUGGAGGAUGACGCAUUUCGGUGUGUAAACUCCUUUUAUAAGGGAAGAUAAUGACGGUACCUUAUGAAUAAGCACCGGCUAACUCCGUGCCAGCAGCCGCGGUAAUACGGAGGGUGCAAGCGUUACUCGGAAUCACUGGGCGUAAAGGAUGUGUAGGCUGUACUAUAAGUCAGGAGUGAAAUCCAACGGCUCAACCGUUGAACUGCUUUUGAAACUGUUGUACUAGAAUAUGGGAGAGGUAGAUGGAAUUGGUGGUGUAGGGGUAAAAUCCGUAGAUAUCACCAGGAAUACCGAUUGCGAAGGCGAUCUACUGGAACAUUAUUGACGCUGAGACAUGAAAGCGUGGGGAGCAAACAGGAAUAGAUACCCGUGUAAUCC
rnacentral:rRNA from 1 species